rnacentral:misc_RNA from 1 species
AAGUCGUAACAAGGUCUCCGUUGGUGAACCAGCGGAGGGAUCAUUACUGAGUUACCGCUCUACAACCCUUUGUGAACAUACCUAACCGUUGCUUCGGCGGGCAGGGGAAGCCUCUCGCGGGCGACCCCUCCCGGCGCCGGCCCCAUCACGGGGGCGGAGCGCCCGCCGGAGGAAACCAAACUCUAUUUACACGACGUCUCUUCUGAGUGGCACAAGCAAAUAAUUAAAA